rnacentral:rRNA from 1 species
UGGAAUGAGGGGACCUGAUCAGCCUGCCGCGUGUGUGAAGAAGGCCUUUUGGUUGUAAAGCACUUUAAGCGAGGAGGAGGCUACCGAGAUUAAUACUCUUGGAUAGUGGACGUUACUCGCAGAAUAAGCACCGGCUAACUCUGUGCCAGCAGGCGCGGUAAU